rnacentral:rRNA from 1 species
CUACGGGGCGCUCCAAUGAGGAAUAUUGGUCAAUGGGCGCAAGCCUGAACCAGCCAUCCCGCGUGGAGGAAGACGGCCCUAUGGGUUGUAAACUCCUUUUAUAAGGGAAGAAUAUACGUAUCGUGAUAUGUUUUGACGGUACCUUAUGAAUAAGCAUCGGCUAACUCCGUGCCAGCAGCCGCGGUAAUACGGAGGAUGCAAGCGUUAUCCGGAUUCAUUGGGUUUAAAGGGUGCGCAGGCGGGCAAAUAAGUCAGUGGUGAAAUCUUACGGCUCAACCGUGAAACUGCCCUUGAUACUGUUAGUCUAGAGUACGGCUGAGGUAGGCGGAAUGUGUAAUGUAGCGGUGAAAUGCUUAGAUAUUACACAGAACACCAAUUGCGUAGGCAGCUUACUAGACCGUAACUGACGCUGAGGCACGAAAGCGUGGGUAGCGAACAGGAUUAGAUACCCUCGUAGUC